CAGGUAGUAACAGAGAGUUCGAUCAUGGCUCAGAUUGAACGCUGGCGGGAUGCUUUAUACAUGCAAGUCGAACGGCAGCACGGACUUCGGUCUGGUGGCGAGUGGCGAACGGGUGAGUAAUGUAUCGGAACGUGUCAGUAGCGGGGAUAACUACGCUGAAAGCGUAGCUAAUACCGCAUACGCCUCGGGGAAAGCGGGGACCUUCUUGGGCCUCGCACUAUUAGAGCGGCCGAUAUCGAUUAGCGCCAGUUGGUGGGGUAACGGCUCACCAAGGCGACGAUCCGUAGCUGGUUUGAGAGGACGACCAGCCACACUGGACUGAGACGAUGGCCCAGACUCCUACGGGGAGGGAAAGAGUGGGAAUUUGGGAGAUAAUGGGGGAAACUCCUGAUCCAGCCAUCCCGCGUGUGAUGAAGGGCCCGGGUUGUAAAGCACCUGGGCAGGAAAGAAAAACGGCACGGGAUAAUACCCCGUGCAACUGAUUAAAACUGCAGAAUAAGCACCGGCUAACUACGUGCCAGCAGCCGCGGUAAUACGUAGGCAAGCGUUAAUCUAAAUUACUGGGCGAAGCGCGUGGUGCAGGCGGUUCGGAAAGAAGAGAUGUGAAAUCCCAGAGCUUAACUUUUGGAACUGUAUUUUUAAUCAUCGAGCUAGAGUGUGUCAGAGGGAGGUGGGAAUUCCGCGGUAGUGAAAUGCGUAGAUAUGCGGAGGAACACCGAUGGCAAGGUAGCCUCCGGGAUAACACUAUCGCCUAUGCACGAAAGUGUGGAGCAAACAUAUUUGUGAUACUCCUAGUCCACGCCCUAAACGAUGUCAACUAGCUGGCAAAUUUUCGCUCUUGGUAGCAGCCAACGUGCGUGAAGUUGACCGCCUGGGAGUACGGUCGCAAGAUUAAAACUCGUGCCGAAUUGACGGGGACCUGCACAAGGUGGAUGAUGAUUAAUCUUUGAUGCAACGCGAAAACCUUACCUCACCCUGAUAUGUUCAACCUGAAGAUUUGGGAGUGCUCGCAGAGAACCGGAACACAGGUGCUGCAUGGCUGUCGUCAGCUCGUGUCGUGACGUUGGGUUAAGUCCCGCAACGAGCGCAACCCUUGUCAUUGUUGUUGCUACGAAAGGGCACUCUGAAUGAGACUGCCGGUGACAAACCGAGGCGGAUGACGUCAAGUCUCAUACCUUUGUGAGGUAGGUCACACGUCAUACAAAAUGGUCGGGACAGGGUCGCCAACCGCGAGGGGGAGUUUCGAUCUCAGAAACCCGAUCGAACUGGAUCGUAGUCUGCAACUCGACUGCGUGUCGGAAUUCCAGCUAGUAAUCGCGGAUCAGUGGCGUCGCGGUGGAAUACGUUCCGGUCUUGCACACACCGCCCGUCACACCAUGGGAGGCUCAUCAGAAGUAGUUAGCCUAACCGUAAGGAGGGCGAUUACCACGGUAGGAUUCAUGAUCAGUGAAGCUGUAACAAGGUAG
rnacentral:rRNA from 1 species